rnacentral:rRNA from 1 species
CCUACGGGAGGCAGCAGUGGGGAAUAUUGCACAAUGGGGGAAACCCUGAUGCAGCGACGCCGCGUGAGUGAUGAAGUUUUUCGGAUUGUAAAGUUCUAUUAUCAGGGAAGAAAAUGACGGUAACUGACUAAUAAGCCCCGGCUAACUCCGUGCCAGCAGCCGCGGUAAUACGUAGGGGGCAAGCGUUAUCCGGAAUUACUGGGUGUAAAGGGAGCGUAGACGGGAUCGCAAGUCAGGAGUGAAAUGCCGUGGCUUAACCCUGGAACUGCUUUGGAAACUGUGCAGCUAGAGUGUAGGAGAGGUAAGUGGAAUUCCUAGUGUAGCGGUGAAAUGCGUAGAUAUUAGGAGGAACACCAGGGGCGAAGGCGGCUUACUGGACUGUAACUGACGUUGAGGCGCGAAAGCGUGGGGAGCAAACAGGAUUAGAUACCCUAGUAGUC